GGGCAGGAUGUGUGAAGUAGGCCCACCAUGCAAGCAUGGUGAUCCUCUUCACUUCCCCUUAUUCGCGCCUGCGGCGCUCAACGGGGCAUCCUGCCCUGCGGGGCC
rnacentral:ncRNA from 1 species